ACGUUUCUGCUGGCUGCUCUCGCCAUAUUUUCUGCGGCCACGCCCGCGAGAUGUGGAAUCUUCCCUCACUGCCUUUCUUUGUGGGAUGAGAGUAGAAGGUUAAGUGAAGCAGGG